AACAUCUGUUAACCAGGUGACCAAUAACAUCUGCUAACCAGGUGACCAAUAACAUCUGCUAACCAGGUGACCAAUAACAUCUGCUAACCAGGUGACCAAUAACAUCUGCUAACCAGGUGACCAAUAACAUCUGUUAUUAACUGUUACCGUAAUGUGUAUGUAUACACACACACACACACACACACACACACACACACACACACACACACACACACACACACACACACACACACACACACACACACACACACACACUACAGCGCAGAUGGCUUGACCGAGGAUUUUUGUUUGCAGGGUUAAACUAAAGCGUCAGGAUUGUAGUUCAGUAAGCGGUGUUUAUAGCGGAGAACUCUUGGGAUAAGGCAGAAAGCCUUGUUGAUUAAAGAGUAGGUCAUAUAAACCCAACCACAUGUAAACAUAUUCAUUUGCAUUAGAAUACGCGUCAAGAGUCCCAAUGCAAAGUUAGCCUGAUAGUUGCUGUCGAGGAAUCGGAAAGUGAGGUGUCAGGGAUGAGAAAAUGAGAAAACACACACUUGCAACUCGUUCUAGCUAAUAGAAUGAAAUAUCCUUAUAGCUUUAAAAGGGGAACGGAUGAACAGCAUCGUUCCUGUCCUCGGGCAAAGACAAGACUUUCCCAACUCCAACCUGAUCCCGGAGUACCUGCUAUUAUCAGGGUAUUGCAUGCCUAGAUGUCAAAGACUAUAAAAAUACAAUCUUUUAUUUUGGGUUUCCAAAUGGAGGUAAGGAAUCAUCGCUUCCUACCUUCACCUUUAUUGGGGUGAUGAACCCAUUCGUCAUCUCCCUCUUUCAUCUCCGCUCCUUCGACCAACGCGCUCAAUAAAAACACCGCCACGCAAGGAAACCAAAUCAUUCUGACUAAAUGUUGUUGUCUAGUAAUGAAUACAACAGCACGAUGUCUACAGUACGUCAGACCGUUAGAUUCACUUCUUCUACGUGGUCGCCGUCAACAUGCUACUGGUGUACAUGCUUCACUUACGCCUUGUGCAGCGCUACAUACCACAGCUGGGUCGUUCUGAACCAAUCACAGGCAGAGAAGUGAACCCCACUCGACCAAUCAGGGAAGGAGACGAGAGGGGAUCGAAGCCCUUAUGUUCUGGUGUUCUGGUUACUUUACGCACAUUAUCUAGGAUCAGUUCGCGUCCCCAAAUGUUUGUGGCGUAAUCGCGUAGAACAGCCAACAGAGGACGCCAUUCUCUUAUUUUUACACAGCGUCAUCUAUUUUAUUUUACCGCCAGACCGACCAUACAUUAUACAGUAUGUACCCCAUCCUCCCGGUUACACCUCUCCAGGAAGAAUACUGGACAAAUAUCCUACCCAAUGCCCUUCCUCAAAUCAAAGUUUAUUGGUAAAUGUACACAGAUCUGAAGAUUUGAUUGCAGGUGCAGCGAAAUGCUUGUUUUUCUAGCUCCAACAGUGCAGUAAUAAUACCUAGCAAUACAAAACAACACCCAUAUAACCCCCCAAAAAAAAAAAAAGUGAAAAGAAAGAAAUGAAGACAUAUCAGAACCAAUAAUUCAGAUAUUCCAUGUGUUUAUAGGGUGUAAUCUGAUGCUAGGUCUGUGGGUGAAGGGCUACAUCAACCCUCAAGCCUCUUUCUAUCCAUCCCUCCAUCGCUGCAACAAUACUUCAUCACUCAUCAUUCCACCUCUCCAUCCAUAUGUGUUCAUUCACUCACUCACCCACCC
ensembl:lncRNA